UCACGUGAUCGUGCAACAUAAACCACACCUCUUUGCAUCAGUACGCUGUGACGCCAGCGCGCAGGUUUUCUUCCCAUCAUUCCUGGGCUCUCACAGAUUGUAUGUCAAGAUGGUUCCUCCACUACAGGUCUCUCCGCUUAUCAAGACAGCCAGGUGGUCAGCCUUGCUGGUUGGAAUGAUCUAUGGCAAGAAGAGAUAUGAUUACCUGAAGCCCAUUGCAGAGGAGGAGAGGAUAGUGGAGGCUGCAGAGAAGAAGCAGCGUGAAGAAGCAGAGCGCAUUGCAAAACAGCUGGCAGAAGCCAAUGAAGACACCAUCCUGAAAUGAGCUGUGAAUGAAAAAAAUUAUAUUUUCUCCUUUCGUCUCAACCAGAAACUUUGAUAAAAAAAAAAAAUGUAAUGUUUUGAUUUCAUAACUGCUUAUCGCUACAUGUAUAAAGUAAAAGACUAGGAACAAUAAAUCUUUCCAAAACAAA